AUGCGAAAGUCGAUGGGGACGCAGUGCACGGUCUUCAGUACGUUGGCGAAGAUGCCGCUGCACCGUGAUCGAAGUUUCCGAAGUAGCAAAAGUGUCGAGGAAGUGCAACCUUUCUGUCUAGGCCGGAAGUUCCGGGCCAGACGGAAGUUCCGGGGGCCGGAAGUUCCGGGCGAGGCAGGAAGUUCCAGGGGUCGGGAAUCUGCCAAGAACAGAGAGUACGAGAUCGUGGAUUUGGGCGGAAAAACUUGGGAAAAACCCAAAUCCGAGGGGAAAAAGAAGAAAUUAGAAGGAAGGGAGGGCAGGGAAGCUAGAUCCACUCGAAACAAAGCAAAUCCAUGGAUCAAAUCCAACCAAAUCUCAACUCACCAACAAAUCACAAAAAAAUUUGGGGCUAUUUUUGGUGGGGAAUUUUCAGAAUUAGGACGAAAACAACAAAAUCAAGCUAGAAAACACGGGGUAGGGGCUCCAAAAUGUGAUCAACAUGGCUCAUGA
rnacentral:rRNA from 1 species